GGAAGCUGUUGAUCUGUUCAUCAUUUGCUCACACACCAUAUUUAACCCUCCUGGGGGCUCCUCCUGGGAGAGCUCAGCUAUAUUUAUCUACCACUGACUUGCCAGGUCCUUUCUGGUUGAUUAGAGAGAGGGUGGUUCAGUCCUAUAUCAGAAAGCAUCUGCUCUCAGGCCAGAGCCACAUGUAUGGAGUGAGAUCUCUCAGAGAGGUGGUGGCUAUGGUAGGAUAAGCUGGGAGUGACCUGUCCCCAGCACACACCCUCGUUAGAACCCAGGGGAACAGAGGCUCUUAAAGGGCCAAUAUGAGGAGACAUUUUAUCAACGAUAGCUAUGCUACAUAGAUCAUUUAGAAGCCGGCACAUCCAGCUGUUGCUGAAACAAAGCAGGACUGCAUAAGAUUCCCUUGAUGCUAAAAUACAGAUUCCCAGGGACCACUCCCAGAGAUUCUGAUUCUGUAGGUCUAAGCAGAGCAAAGGGUGAAACUCGCUUUAUUGAAGGGACGUUGAAGCACAGAGAGAUGGAAAAGCUCAGAGACAUGGACAGCUCAUCUCUCCCGAACGCCUGUGCUUCGUGCUGCAUAACGUUGACUCCUGAGGAGCUGUCAUCUGUCAGAAUGAAUGGCGGACCCUGGAGGAGACUUAUAAACAGGCCAAC
rnacentral:lncRNA from 1 species